rnacentral:rRNA from 1 species
AACGCGGGGCAACCUGGCGACGAGUGGCGAACGGGUGAGUAAUGCAUCGGAACGUGCCCAGUAGUGGGGGAUAGCCCGGCGAAAGCCGGAUUAAUACCGCAUACGACCUAAGGGUGAAAGCGGGGGAUCGCAAGACCUCGCGCUAUUGGAGCGGCCGAUGUCGGAUUAGCUAGUUGGUGGGGUAAAAGCCUACCAAGGCGACGAUCCGUAGCUGGUCUGAGAGGACGACCAGCCACACUGGGACUGAGACACGGCCCAGACUCCUACGGGAGGCAGCAGUGGGGAAUUUUGGACAAUGGGCGCAAGCCUGAUCCAGCCAUGCCGCGUGCGGGAAGAAGGCCUUCGGGUUGUAAACCGCCUUUGUCAGGGAAGAAACG